rnacentral:rRNA from 1 species
AGAGUUUGAUCAUGGCUCAGAUUGAACGCUGGCGGCAGGCCUAACACAUGCAAGUCGAGCGGUAGCACAGAGAGCUUGCUCUCGGGUGACGAGCGGCGGACGGGUGAGUAAUGUCUGGGAAACUGCCUGAUGGAGGGGGAUAACUACUGGAAACGGUAGCUAAUACCGCAUAACGUCGCAAGACCAAAGUGGGGGACCUUCGGGCCUCAUGCCAUCAGAUGUGCCCAGAUGGGAUUAGCUAGUAGGUGGGGUAACGGCUCACCUAGGCGACGAUCCCUAGCUGGUCUGAGAGGAUGACCAGCCACACUGGAACUGAGACACGGUCCAGACUCCUACGGGAGGCAGCAGUGGGGAAUAUUGCACAAUGGGCGCAAGCCUGAUGCAGCCAUGCCGCGUGUGUGAAGAAGGCCUUCGGGUUGUAAAGCACUUUCAGCGGGGAGGAAGGCGUUAAGGUUAAUAACCUUGGCGAUUGACGUUACCCGCAGAAGAAGCACCGGCUAACUCCGUGCCAGCAGCCGCGGUAAUACGGAGGGUGCAAGCGUUAAUCGGAAUUACUGGGCGUAAAGCGCACGCAGGCGGUCUGUCAAGUCGGAUGUGAAAUCCCCGGGCUCAACCUGGGAACUGCAUUCGAAACUGGCAGGCUAGAGUCUUGUAGAGGGGGGUAGAAUUCCAGGUGUAGCGGUGAAAUGCGUAGAGAUCUGGAGGAAUACCGGUGGCGAAGGCGGCCCCCUGGACAAAGACUGACGCUCAGGUGCGAAAGCGUGGGGAGCAAACAGGAUUAGAUACCCUGGUAGUCCACGCCGUAAACGAUGUCGAUUUGGAGGUUGUGCCCUUGAGGCGUGGCUUCCGGAGCUAACGCGUUAAAUCGACCGCCUGGGGAGUACGGCCGCAAGGUUAAAACUCAAAUGAAUUGACGGGGGCCCGCACAAGCGGUGGAGCAUGUGGUUUAAUUCGAUGCAACGCGAAGAACCUUACCUGGUCUUGACAUCCACAGAACUUNNNNNUUGGUGCCUUCGGGAACUGUGAGACAGGUGCUGCAUGGCUGUCGUCAGCUCGUGUUGUGAAAUGUUGGGUUAAGUCCCGCAACGAGCGCAACCCUUAUCCUUUGUUGCCAGCGGUUAGGCCGGGAACUCAAAGGAGACUGCCAGUGAUAAACUGGAGGAAGGUGGGGAUGACGUCAAGUCAUCAUGGCCCUUACGACCAGGGCUACACACGUGCUACAAUGGCAUAUACAAAGAGAAGCGACCUCGCGAGAGCAAGCGGACCUCAUAAAGUAUGUCGUAGUCCGGAUUGGAGUCUGCAACUCGACUCCAUGAAGUCGGAAUCGCUAGUAAUCGUAGAUCAGAAUGCUACGGUGAAUACGUUCCCGGGCCUUGUACACACCGCCCGUCACACCAUGGGAGUGGGUUGCAAAAGAAGUAGGUAGCUUAACCUUCGGGAGGGCGCUUACCACUUUGUGAUUCAUGACUGGGGUGAAGUCGUAACAAGGUAACCGUAGGGGAACCUGCGGUUGGAUCACCU